CGUGAAGUCAGAUCAUCUGACGUACAUAAUAUUCAUUAUAAAAUAAUUUUGGCAUGUAUUUAGCUCCAGAAAAAAAAGCAGAGAUUUUCGCAAAGUACGGAAAAGACGCA
rfam:Flavobacteria bacterium BBFL7 scf_1099451317783 genomic scaffold, whole genome shotgun sequence.